AAAAACGACGAAGUUGUACGCGUUACAUUCGUUUUUAACCCAAGUUCAAUCUAGGCUUGGAUUCCACCGGAUUUGUUCAAACUUCUUCGACUGGAAGAUCCCAUUCUGUCAAAAGAAAAACAAAACGAAUCUUCCGUAUCGUCAUCGGCUCCGUCGUCAGCUUACCACGGGUUGGCCGGACACCCUAUCUGGGCUGCAAAAAAAAACAUUUUCAGAUACGGAACGGGCACGCAUCGAUGAACAACCGGCAGCAAUCCCUCCGUCAAUCCGCGCUAAUCGCACAUAACUGCGGUAAACAGAAACCACCGGAAUCCGCGGUCGUCGUUAUCAAAGUCUCCGGAACCAAGUUCAACGGCAGAGGUGGUGGUUUUUUGAUCGAGCAAACGCACCUUCCCGUAUCGCAGGGAAGAGGAAAUGCGGGUCGAUUAGGAGAAAGUUGAACCGGGAGCUGUUCCGGUUUCGUUAGAGUACGACGGAUUAAAGUACAACAUGAACAGAAAUAAUGGUAUCGAUUCAUAUUCCCGAGAAACUCCGUGCAUAGUACCAUGGAAUUCCGGUACUGCCCACGGAGAAAAAAAUCAAGAUUGACGAGCCGGUCGACCAGCUGAUAUGUUUGCCUGGCGCAUGAUUGAGUGAUGAUGCCCAUCGUCGUCAGCGACCCUCGGAUUAGUGCUUCCCAGCCAUGACUUCACUCUGACACCCGUUUGCCACCCGCUACUACUCAACGUCAGCAGAAACAUUUAAAAUGGGUCUACCAAUUCCAGCAACAUAUGUAAU